UGAAAUCUUGUGCUUUCUUAAACCAGUAAGAUUGUGGUAAUUGUUUAAAGUAUUCAUGAUGUACUCAUAUAGAUGAUCUCUGCAUUUUCCUGAUACCUCAAAAUGGAGCCCAGUGGAUCCCAAUGCUUUCUCAUUGUCCAAGGAGAAUGGCUCAAGUCCGCAUGUCGGUGAGCACAGAGAACAUCUCUGCAGGGUUUAUCACUCAAGUUCUGAGUAUGUGGCAGGUACACAGAGAAGCCCAGUAGGUACCCUGAUCACCAGGAUUAUGUUCUACAAGGGAAAUAAAUAUGCCCAGAAGCCAUCAUGGUAAUAAUUGUGCCAUGGUAGCUUAAUGUCUCUUUAUCCUACUUCAUAUCUGAGUAUAGUUAGAAUUUAGGAAGUGGCCAAGGAAGUAAAUAGAAAAUCCAUUUCAUAAACAUAAUUCUGAAACAUGGAGAUCUGAUUAAACAAAGUCAAUUCAAAGAAAUUAUUGUUUACAUUUCUGUUUCAUUCACUGUGACAAGGAUUAUAUGAGAAAACUAUGAAUUAAAAUACCUCUUUCUAUUAUCUCAUUGUUAUCUAUCUAUAAUCAUCAUCAUCAUCAUCAACUUCAUGAUCUAUCUACACAACACAAUGGUUCAUCGCAAUGACUACCAAGGUAUUUUUCCAGUAUGUAAGUGCCAAUAACCCUUCUCCCCCAUUGUACAUUUCUUUCAAGGAUAGAUGUUGAUGGAAAGCCAAGACAUUCUGGAAAAAAAGAAGAAGAAGACCUAAAUGAAAGAUCUCUGCGAGUGAGAUCCCAGUGGAAAGAACGGGGCUCCAUCAAAGAAGGAGAUCCCAACCACCAGCCCAUUUGAGGAAGCUCAAACUUGCCCAUGUGGAGAGACCUCAUGCAGAGACCAUGUGCAGGUAUCUGGCUCAGCCCAGCUGGUGUCCUGGCCAAACCAUCGGAUGUGUGGGUGAAGACACCUCCAGAGGGCUUCAGUCUUCAGCUGUUAAAUCACCAUCAUCCUGAUUUCAAAAUAAAUAACAAAAGCCUGUAGCAGAGUUUAGCUGGAGAGCACCGGCUAGUUUCCCAGCCUGGUGGCACGGCAAGAGGGUCCACCGUUGAAAAUGAAGCAGUGCCACCCUGAGGUCACUUCUGGGAAUGGCAUCAAGAAUCAGGAAACGGCUCUGAGCCUGAGGCACAAGGCUGCCAGGAGCUACCUUGACCUGCUAUCAUGUGAGGAUAUACACCGAAGAAACCAUUUAUACCAGGAAAGGAGCCCUCAUCAAAUACCACAGACCUUCCAGCAUGCAGAACUACGAGAAGUAAGUUUCUGUAUCUCAUAAGCUAAGUAGAGUGUGGUAUUUUGUUAUAGCAGCUGUAAUAUGCUGAGAGAUGUGACACAGGCAUCUAAACAGUAGCUCACAUGUAUGUGUUAGCUCAUUCUAAUGUCAAAGGAAAAGUGCUUCUCUAUUGAAAAAAAAAGGUAAGAUAAUAACAAACUCCCAAUAUUUUAAGUAGAGCACACUC